rnacentral:lncRNA from 1 species
GCUCCUUUGUGGAACGGAGAGAACAGCGUCACGAAGGAAUCCCCUGUCUUAAUUGCAUCCCCUGUCAUUCUGACUGGAAGAACGUCUAAGUAAAGUCUCUCUGUCCUGUGUUUGAUUGCAGGUGUGACUGGGAAUGAAGGUGCUCCAGCUUCCCCUCUGAGUUCCAGGACUGAAACUCCGGCAGAUCACAUGGAAGUGCCCCCAGGGAGGGCCUUGCUGGUUUCUCGGCUCCUUCCUGCGAUGGAGACCAGUUGGAAUCCCAUGGGUGAGUAGAUGGUCUUCACUGAUUCCACUGACGCACUGCUGGUCUUCAAAACUUCAAGCACGGGAGACU